UUUUUAUUUUCUUUCAAGUUUCAAAUGUUUUGAAAACUUGUUCUUUCUUUUAUAUUUCAAUUUAUCCAUAGUUUUCAUGAUCUUUAAAAAUAUACGUUUCUUUUUUUUUAUCCAUUGUUUAGAUAAAGUAUGGGAUCCUGGAACAAAGAAGAGAUAACAAUGUUUUAUGAAUCUUAUAGAAACCAGGGGAAAGACUUGGAAAAAGGUACGGAAUCUAUAGGUUAUAGCAACUACAUGUUAAUCUCUUCUUUAUUCAAACUCUAUCUAACAUUUACGAUAAUUCUUUUGGCAUUCAAUUUCGUUCAUUCUUUCAAAAUAGAGUUUAUGGCUAGUUUGGACCUAAUUUUGGGUUGCCAUAAAAAGCUGUUAACAGCAGCAAUUGAAAUAUUACAGUGAUGUCUAAGUUUGCCUAAGUUGUGAACAAUUAUAUGAAACAUAAAUAAUCGGUUCAUAAUCUCAAUAUUUAACGAAAUGAAUCCCUAAAUUCAGAAAUAAA
rnacentral:lncRNA from 1 species